AGGUUUGCAACAGACUAGGUGAGGCAGGGAAGAUACUUGAGAGACAUAAAGAAACAUAGCUUCCUGCAAAGAAAUAUAGAGGUUUGGAACAGACUAAGUGAGGCAGGGAAGAUACUUGAGAGACAUAAAGAAACAUAGCUUCCCACAAAGAAAUAUAGAGGUUUGGAACAGACUAAGUGAGGCAGGGAAGAUACUUGAGAGACAUAAAGAAACAUAGCUUCCCACAAAGAAAUAUAGAGGUUUGGAACAGACUAAGUGAGGCAGGGAAGAUACUUGAGAGACAUAAAGAAAUAUAGCUUCCCACAAAGAAAUAUAGAGGUUUGGAACAGACUAAGUGAGGCAGGGAAGAUACUUGAGAGACAUAAAGAAACAUAGCUUCCCACAAAGAAAUAUAGAGGUUUGGAACAGACUAAGUGAGGCAGGGAAGAUACUUGAGAGACAUAAAGAAACAUAGCUUCCCACAAAGAAAUAUAGAGGUUUGGAACAGACUAAGUGAGGCAGGGAAGAUACUUGAGAGACAAAGAAAUAUAGCUUCCCACAAAGAAAUAUAGAGGUUUGGAACAGACUAAGUGAGGCAGGGAAGAUACUUGAGAGACAUAAAGAAACAUAGCUUCCCACAAAGAAAUAUAGAGGUUUGGAACAGACUAGGUGAGGAUGUAGCAUCGGCAAGGAGUGUGCAAAGCUGUAAGGAAAAGUUGGAUAAAUGCAGAAACGGAUAUGGGAUCACACGAGGAUAAGCCCAGGCCCUGUAAAACUAUAACUAGGUAAACACACACACACACACACACACACACACACACACACACACAC